GCAGCUCAGAUUUGCAUAGCGAAGCCCCACCCAUCGCGGACUUGGAAAGACUGAGGCUAAUAGCCCGCUGGAUUCUCAGCCCAGCCUCCUACGCUUGCCUUAAAGGAGCCGCUCCCUUUUGCGGUGGAUCUAGUCCACAAGCGGUUCGUCUAUGGACCUGGGAUUGAAGGGUUAAAGAGCUGCUGUCCCCCGGCGACCAUCGGCCGCCCCCAGCACUAGCCGGUCUUGCUGUGUGGUUCCGGCUGGCCUAGACCCACCGUGUAGUGUGGGCUGGCGUCAAACUCAUGGAGCUCCUCUUACCUCAGCCGCCUGAGUGCUCGGACUGCAGUGCCUGAGCAAUCUUAGAUUAUACCACGUAGGACAACUGAAACUGAAACUGAGACACUGCCCCUGAGGUUUGACCAAACAAUGUCCUGGUGUUUGAAAGUAAGAGACAGUGGGCUAUGGAAGGGUUGCUUUGGCUCCAACUACUGCCCCCGUUAACUAUUAACAAUAACAUUCAUGGAAGACUGAAGACUGGCAGAAAGCCACUACCUCUAUGCUGGGACCCAGCACCCUGGUCAACAGAGAAGCCCCAUACAUGGGAUUUCUAUGGCCAAAAGUGCCUUGGGACUCAUCACUGAAAACAGUCCAGCACUGACACACGAGCUCAUGGCAGAUGUGAGGCUCCUGGUCUACCACAAGAUUGAAGGCUCCCACAACUCCUCUUCUACGGUCCUUACCAGGCUGAGGAUGGGCGAGUGGGGCCCCUGGUCAAAGACGCCUGUCUGGUUACAGAAGCUGAUGCCCCAGCGGAUGAGAAGGUUCCAGUUGGAGUUAUGGUCAAAGUAAUGGUGCACAAUCCUUGGGAAGCGCAGUACCACAUCCCCGAAGAAGGCCGUGUUCUCCACCACAUGGGAGAAAGCUGGCAAAAGGACAUUAGUGAGUGGCCUGUGUAGCUGCCCUCCUUCCUACUGCCUGCCUGACUGGCCCCAGGCAUCCUCCAGAGAAUGGAGACACCCACCAAACACGAUCAGAGGGGAAUGGCAUCCACCGGCCACAGCAUGCCUACUGCAUGUGCACUGUGUGCCAGCGCCUGUGUUCUCAGCUCACUGAAAUUUAUAACACCUUUAGAGGGAGAGAUGGCUGCUGGUCCCAUUCUAUAGGCAAGAAAUAAAGGCUCAGCAACUAGCGUCAAAUCUGGGCUGCAAAGCCAUGUCAGUCUGUCCAAAGACAUCUCACUGCCGAGAAGACUUGUUUGCUAUGGAGACCAGAGAGGCAGGUUGAGUUGUAUACAGAGACUGAUGUCUCAGACUUUCCUGAGCCUGACUCCCCCAGUACAGUAUGUUCACGGACGGCCUCUGGUGUUCAUGUGAACAGCUCUGUGAGCCCUGUAGUGCCUGAGAAGGGUCUGUUCUGUUAGGAAGGUCAGUAAGUGAACAGAUCAGGACUGUAGGGUUUUUUGGUGAUUUUUUAAAAAAUAUUCUUUCCAUUUUAUUUUAUUGUAAAUGCUUCUUAAAUUCUUAUUUUGACAUUAUUCUAAAAUUACAUAAUACAAACUUCUACUUGACCCCUUCUAUUAUAAUCUUACAUAACUAUUGUAUAAUUAUUGAAUCAGGACAUUAUCAGCAAUAGAAUUAUUAAUUAACCUACAGGCUUUACUUGAAUUUUGCCAACUUUUCCACUACUAACCUUCCUCUGGUCAAAAUAUUAGACAGAGGGUAAUGCGUGUGCCCACCAUGAAACCAAGUUACCCAGACCUAGAAGAGCACGAAGAGUAGCUGUGUACCCAGUUCUGGAGGCAGACGGGCCCCAGGCAGCUCUUCUCAGCAGUGGUCAAGCAUCCCAGGGAGGUAAGCAGACCCCAAAGAUAUGCCAGGUUGGGUCUGAGAUACUUAAGAGCAGGGAUGCCCGAGCUUCAGGAAAAUCUUGAACUUCAGGGAACUCAGGAGUCAGUGUGGUUAAGAGGGAAAAGCCUACUAUAGCAAAAUUAAGAUAUCAUGGAAUUAAACAAUUUUAUAUUGUAGAUACUAUAUUGGCUGAUACAAAUUUAUAGCCUAUGAAGAAAUGGGACAGAUACAACACAAAGUUAAAUAUAUGUAGGUAAACUUUGGUCUGAAAUCUAGUGCUACACUAGAUUUCUCUACUACACUAAGUCAUCCACUAUAAUUUUUUUUCAGUAUAGAUAUAGUAGAUGGUCUGCAAGUCUCUAACAAUUUUCCAUAAAGUAGAUUAUUGGUCAUCACACAUGAUUUUGUAAUUAGUACUGUGUGUGCUUAUUUUGCCAGUUCUUCCUCAGAGGGUUAAGCUACAUUAACAGUUUACGUUCAACAACUAAAAAAAUAAUAGGGAAAAUUAUUUCAGUAUGUGCUUCAGCGAUGGGAGUGACUCUGUUAACAGAAAUCUGCAGAAAAUAGGAUUAUAAGGUUAUUCAGUCAAUUCUGUCUUGGAAAGUCCUGUGUUAGGAAUCUGACUGGCAGAAUUAACUUUUUGAAAAUGUUUUAUACACAGAUAUUUGUAUUAUUAAAUUUGGAGCCAUAGUCAGAUGAUUUAGACCACAGUUGGCUUUUUAUUUCAGUUUAAAAGAUAAUUUUUUAAACAGUCAACAUUUCUUGCUGUUAUAGUCUGUAGCCUUUAAAAUGACUGUGUUGCUUUUAGGAUACUAAAAAAGUCCCAGAAGUUGAGAUGACACUGUGAUAUAGCAAGAUAUAAGCCAUAGAAUUAACAAAGAAGUGCUAUGGCCUCUUCGUGAUAAGUUUUCUAAAUGCAGAGACACUUGGCUACAUUCAUAGAGACAUUUCUGUUUUGUUUUCAAAUGAAAAUUUGUCUCUUUGGCAAUAUGCAUAAAGGAAAAAAAAAUUUUUUUUUUCCUCUUACCUGAUUCUGUAGUCGUAAGAUAAAGCACGGGUAUUGGUGUUAUAAAACAAACAAUGGAUUGUAACAAGUGCAUGGUUCAAAAUACAUGAUGUUAACUUUUUAUAUACCUUAAUGGUUCUUUUCUAUUCAUAAUUUCUAACUUUCAUAAAGCACACCAAGAAUUUCAUACAUUUCUUUUCAGUAAACUGCUCUUUUUGCUAUGAGAGGUCAUUAGAUACAGUAUUUAUUCUUAUAAAUGAAAAUAUCAAAUCAUCUAGGAUAUUGACACAUUUCAAUUUGCAGUGUCUUUUUUUUUUUUGGACUGGGUAUAUUCCCCUGAAUGGUAUUGAUAAAUAGUUCAGAAGACAAAUUCAGUGAAAUAAAAGUAAUAUUUAUUCAUGGUGAUCAAUUAGUCCCAUUAUUUGCUUAAGGAAACUACUGUGGAUAACUCUCCACUUUUUUAGUAACUCAAUUUGACAUGAGGUGAUGGUAGAGUCUGAGUUUACUUAUAGAAUAUGUUGAUUUAUUUUCAGUACUUGAAAAUACAAAGAUAAGUGCUUUGGGAAAAAGCCAUAUAAUUUUAAGUUAACUUGCAUUCUUUAGAAUAUUUUAUGUCUAAACAGAAAGGAAAUAUUUUUGAAAUGUUAAAAAAAGAGAAAGAGAGAGAGAAACACCAAGGCAAGAGAUUGCAAGUUAUGAUGAAAAUUAGAAAUAACAUUUGCAAACUGCCUAAUAUUUAACAUACAAAGAGAUGGGCUGGGGAUAUAGCUCAGUGGAAAAGUGCCUGCCUGGCAAGUAUGAGGUCCUGAGUUUGAUUCUGGUUAAAAAAAAAAAGUCAGGUGUGGUAGUGCACACCUGUAAUCCCAGUACUCAGGAGACUGAGGCAGAAAGAUCGCUGCAAGUUCAAGACCAGCCUUUGCUACAAAGUGAGCUCAAGGCCAACGUAAACUGUAUAAGGAGACUCUGUCUCAAAAGAAAAAAAAAAAUACAAGGGUUUUCUUCAGCUUUACUUUAAUCUAAGAAAUAGUAUUAAAAUAUAACCAGUAGGGGGCUGGAGAUUUAGCUCAGCGGCAUAAGUGCCUGCCUUGUAAGCAGGCAGUCGUGAGUUCGAUCCCCGGUACCGGUAAAAAUGAAAAAGACAAAAAAAAAAAAAAAAAAAAAAAAAAAAAAUAUAUAUAUAUAUAUAUAUAUAUAUAAAACCAGUUAAUGAGGAAAGGGAUUAUCAUUGCUGAAGAGAAAUUCUGCAAGAGUAUAAAAGGGGUUAUCCUUUCAUCUUAUUUAUAUAUUUUUCUCAACUUACCUAAAAAAGAUUUAAGGGGGUUGUGGCUUUUACUACAGUUCCAAAGAGCAGUGGUAGUUACACCCCCUGGCUCAAGUACUUUGACAGGCCUUGUUCUUCUCUCUUAUAAAUGGAAACAAUUUCUGCCUUCCUUCCCUAAGGGUCACAGUGGUGACGCACUGACUCUGUCCUGGCUCCUGGAGUAAUGGUGGGCAGAGGCUCCUCCCUGAUUUCCUACCUUAAGCCCGGUGGAAUAUUUGUCAGGAGAACAGGAACUGGCUCUGGAGGCCAGAGACACUUAGAGAACAGACUCUGUCGUCAUCUGCCUUACAGGACCUAGCAGCUGUCAUAAAAAGGUGCUCUAGGGAUGGAAAGAGUGACAAGAACAGGAGGGAAAGAGCAGCUAGAAAGGACCAAGUUGGAAAAGGAGGAGGAAAAGGAGAAAAGGUGGGUUUGGGAGACCAUACCAUCCUUCAGCUUCUCGUCCUGGGGGAAUGGCCCAUCUGGAAGCACAUCAGCAGCCUGGAGCACUGUCCGGGAGUCCUCUAGCACCUAAGAGGACCCCAAAUGAGGUCAGUGGCUUUUUAGAGUCCUUUACAACCUGGCUCCAGCCCCGUUUACUUGAACCCCACUUCAACUCCUGUGCAUGUAGCUCUGUCCUCACUGAAGACCAUUCUUUUAAGGGACGCUUCCUCAUCUGUUAUUGCCUAGAUCAAAGACUGGGCUUGCAGUGAGUUGUCUCCUGCCCCCACACACCUUAAAGAGCCCCUUGAGCAUGACAUCAAGGAUUUUGUACUGUUGGUGGACAUCAUUCAGCUGUGCCAGGUUCUUCAGCGCCGACAGCUGCUCCCGCCGCUUCACCUCAAACAUCUUCUUGUCUGGGCAGCAUUGAGUUAAGGGGCUGGAACCAACAACUCUGUGUGGACAUCCAACAGCCCUGUUCUUGAGCAGUAGGUUCUCCAAGGACCACGAAUACCCGUGGCUUGGAAGCCAUGGGCUGGGAACAAACUGUGAAGGGUACGGGCUCACCAGUGUAUCACCCACCCAAUUUUCUGAGGACUUUGCAUCCAAUAACCUGAACCCAACCCUCCAGACCUGGCUUCUGCCUUUCAUCUCUGGUCUGCCUGCCAUUACUGACAAUUAUUCUCUGUUCUAGAACUGUGCCACUCUGCUCAUGCUACAGCCUCUACCCUUCUCUACAUUCUAUUCUCUCAAGAGCUGGCACAGUGUUUGCCCUAUGCCUCCUGCAUCCAUGAGAGAGCAAUGAUCACUGAGUACAAUGACCGUCUGUUUGAAUUCUCUCCCCCAGUCCCGUGGAGGCUGCAAAAUCACUGGUCCUGACUUACUUUUAUGUCCCAGAGGCCUGGCCCAGAACAUUGGGAUCAAGACGGGCCAGUAAUCCAGUGCUCCUAAAUCUUGCCUCGUCUUACCCACAAGGUGCGAGGCCCAUGUACAGUCCUCACUGAGCCUUUGCAGCUCUGAGAGAUGUGCCUGGCCUUCACCACUUAAUAUAUGGAGAAACAGACUCAGAAGAGAACAUCUUGCUCUAGGUCUGGCUUCUUGGCCUUGUUCAGCAAGUUAAGUCUGCUCAUUCUUGGACUCUCCUACGGGGAAGUAGGUAUAGAGAGAACUCAUUUACUGACCCUCUCAAGACAGUUCAUUCACCCUACCCCAAAUUCCAAAAGAUACAAAUCUCUAGGCUUGGGUCCCUCGAAGUGCCUGUGGUCCCUCUUCCUGACAGGAACAAGACAAAAAGGAAGGCCAGGAGCUGAAGAAGGUUCAUAUCCAAGAUCCUGGAGCUAAAGGGAUAACGCAAAGAAAAGGAUUGAGAGCCAGAGGCUGAUGUUAUGUAAAAUAGAGAGUAUAGUGAACGGUAACUUCCUUUGACAUGGCACAGCCUCUAAAUGCCAAGAGUCCACUUUUGGAAAGCCCUUGAAGAGCCAGCCCUUGGUCCAGGGCUGCGACCAGCAGGCACACAACAAAGAAAUAUAAGAUGGCUGAAUGGAAGAAAGAAGAUAAAUGCUAGCAACACAGGCAUGCUGGGAGCACAGGAGUGGGGAUUAAGGGUCAACAUUAGAGCCAUGCAUGACCCUAAGCAAAUUACACUUCCUCUCCAAGCCUCAGCUUCCUUGCCUGCCUGCUGCAGGGAAGUGGUCUAGGUGAGGCACUGUCACCCAGGUGAGGCCUGGUCAAUAGUACUCUCUUUCGAUCCCCUCCCCUUGCCUCACAAGGUCAGGUGAAGGCAGUGAGAGGGGAUAUGAAACUUCUGUGGUUUUCCUCCUCCCGGUUUGUCUUCAGGAAGAAGAGACACAGGGUGAGUAAGGAGGCAGGGAGUCUUGAGGUAAGAUGGCCACUACUUACUCAGUUUGGAACCAUAGUUACCAUGUGCACCCUGUUCCUAUUCAGGUAAAAUCCCACAAACUUUUUCUCAGUACUGGGGAACUGAACUCAGUGCCUUUACACUGAAAUACACCUUUUUAAAAAAAUUUUCAGACAGGAUCUCAUAAAGUCACUAAGUUGCCCUGGCUGGGUUGGAACUGAGAUGUUCCUGCCUCAGUCUUCCAGAGUUCUGGGAUUACAGCCAACACCCAGCCAAAGCACAAUUAUUGCAUACCUACCACGUUCUAGGCAACAGGACUACAGCAAUAAGGUCAAGCAAAAAUCCCUGCACUCAUGGUACUUAGCUCCCUAGUAGAGGUAAGAGACAACAAACUGAAAAACAGAAAGAUGAGAGGGAGUCUGUCAGGUGCAACAUUAAGUAAGAGGUUGGGGAGGCUUUAUAAUCAGAUGACAGCCACCCAAUUUUAUGAAUGUGGAAAUUAUGCAUAUAACAGUGAGGUAACUGUCCAAAGUCACACAGCCAUUCCCAGGCUGAACCGAAGGCAGCUGACUCUCAGACCAGUGCUCCAUCUCCUGUCUCUUUUUCCUUGGUAAUGAGGAUUGAAGCCUGAGACUUGGGAAUGCUAGGCAAACAUUCUACCAAUGAGUGAGCUACAUCCCCUCCCCUUCCAAAUUAGCAUAUGUCACAAUUGACCACUGAUAUACCAGAACACCUGAUCUGGCAGAGGGAUAGAGGGAUUGCCAGUUAGUGAGACGCCCGCAGAGAUCACUGGAACUCUUGACCCCCUGACAGAUGGAAUCAAAUCCUAGAGAAGGCAUCCAAGUUCACCCAGAAGCUCUCCACCUUCCACCGUCAUGCUCCAGGUCCAAGGGAACCAGAAUCUGGAGACAGCAAACCUUGGAGAGUAACAAGGAGGGCAUCAAGCCGCUGGCAACGAUUGAAGCAGGGUAAAAGUAGGAAAGAAAAACCGAAACACCAGACUUGGGGAGACUCAGGGAGUGCACUCUUGUCUUUCUCUACUAUUAUGUUGUUUUUCUGCCACUCAAUCCUGAGCCUUUCCAGUGCGUCCCGAGCUCUUCCCAGUUCUGCAAGAAACUCUUAACCCAUUCUGCAGAGGUGCCCUGCUAGUGACAAUUGUGGGCCCAGCUCGCGGACCUUCGGGCCUCCGAGAGGAGGAAAGGAGACUUCACAAAAGAAAAGAGGAUUUCGAUCCCGAAACUCCCUCCCCACACGCUGCACCAGUUCCAGGGGCCCUCUACCCUUUCACUUCCCUCCUCAGAAGCCUGCGGCCCGGCGGUCCCGCCAUCACGUACCAGAACGGGCGAUGCGGGAAGGGGCGGGCGGGUACUGCCUUGAUAUACACCUUGACUCGAGGGUCCACUAGAGUACACCACACGGAACACAACUCCAGAGCACCUGGCUAGCGGCGCGUAGAGACCGCGGAAUGCUGCCCCACCCACCGCCCCUCUCCCGUCCAAUGAGUACGGGCCGCGACCUCUGCGCUCCGAUGACUUCACUUCCGGCUACGCCCCCACUGCUCUGGGCUCCCAAACUGGCGGCCGGUUCUCUCUGGAUCAACUCUUUUCCCAGCAAGCGUCCUGCCUAUCCGGAGCAGCGGCUCCCGCGGUGGCCCAGGGAUGUGGUUCUGGAGGAAGUGAAACGGCAAAUGGGACGUAUGCCCAUUUUAAAGUGCGCAUCAGCAAACUAGGGCCCCAUCCCCAGCCCGCCUGGCGAUCUUCCACGAGCUCACCCUGAACCAGUUGUCAUUCAUGACCAUGUUUUUUCAACUGCAGUUCGCUACAUGAGUUUAUUAGGAAGAAGCUGCGCAGGGCCUGGAGUGUAGUGUCUGAGAGGGCAGACAGGUCAGCCAAAGCCACGUCUUGAAGAAAGUGACCCACUUCUUCAUGGGAGAGAAUGCUGCUGCUGCUGCUGCUGUAUCGCACAAACUGGCACAAGAAGAAAAGCCUCACAUGCCAAUGAUUUGGAGGAGAUUCCAUUUCCUGUGCCCUCUGUGCUCAGCACUCAGCUGGAAAUACUGUUCUAAAGCCCAUAGAACCCUGCUUUUAAGCUCUGCGCUGGUGGGCAGGGUGCGGGAACAUGGUUGUAUUCCCAGGAAAAGGAGCAAACAAGGCAGACUGAGACCCUGAGAGGGCUGCCAAGGUGGCCUCCGGCCUUGGCUCCCUCCUCCCCCAGCUUUGUGCUACACUCUCAUGGCCACAUGAACUGAGCAGCUUCUGUAACUAACCACCAUGAGCUCCUGUUCUGCUCUCCUCACUUUACUACCGGGGAUAGGUUCCUUCUCUCUGCCUACUAAUCCUUCGGGCCUCAGCUAAAACAUUACUUUCACUGCAUAGAAACGGUCAUUUUUUUCUCUGUGUCCCCAUAUCAACCACAGAUUUAUUUGUAGACCCACAACACUCUCACAGACUUCUGCUUUGAUAUUCAAUGGGCACCAACUAUGUGCCAGACUGCGCAUCUCCUGCACUCUACCACUCGAAACAUCCUAGUUAACUGUUCAUUUCCUUGUCUAUCUCCUCUAAACUGCAGGACCCUAAAGGCAGAGAGAGCAUGGCUCAUCACUAUCUCUGUGCCUGGCAGACCAGACAUGUGGUGGCAGGGCCUGGUCAACAUUUCAUGAAAUAAAAGGUGUGGAGGUC